AUUGAACGCUGGCGGCAGGCCUAACACAUGCAAGUCGAGCGGAUGAAGGGAGCCUGCUCCUGGAUUCAGCGGCGGACGGGUGAGUAAUGCCUAGGAAUCUGCCUGGUAGUGGGGGAUAACGUCCGGAAACGGGCGCUAAUACCGCAUACGUCCUGAGGGAGAAAGUGGGGGAUCUUCGGACCUCACGCUAUCAGAUGAGCCUAGGUCGGAUUAGCUAGUUGGUGGGGUAAAGGCCUACCAAGGCGACGAUCCGUAACUGGUCUGAGAGGAUGAUCAGUCACACUGGAACUGGGACACGGUCCAGACUCCUAAGGGAAGGCGCAGUUGGGAAUAUUGGACAAUGGGCGAAAGCCUGAUCCAGCCAUGCCGCGUGUGUGAAGAAGGUCUUCGGAUUGUAAAGCACUUUAAGUUGGGAGGAAGGGCAGUAAGUUAAUACCUUGCUGUUUUGACGUUACCAACAGAAUAAGCACCGGCUAACUUCGUG
rnacentral:rRNA from 1 species